rnacentral:rRNA from 1 species
UAAUACCGUAUAACAAUCGAAACCGCAUGGUUUUGAUUUGAAAGGCGCUUUCGGGUGUCGCUGAUGGAUGGACCCGCGGUGCAUUAGCUAGUUGGUGAGGUAACGGCUCACCAAGGCCACGAUGCAUAGCCGACCUGAGAGGGUGAUCGGCCACAUUGGGACUGAGACACGGCCCAAACUCCUACGGGAGGCAGCAGUAGGGAAUCUUCGGCAAUGGACGAAAGUCUGACCGAGCAACGCCGCGUGAGUGAAGAAGGUUUUCGGAUCGUAAAACUCUGUUGUUAGAGAAGAACAAGGAUGAGAGUAACUGUUCAUCCCUUGACGGUAUCUAACCAGAAAGCCACGGCUAACUACGUGCCAGCAGCCGCGGUAAUACGUAGGUGGCAAGCGUUGUCCGGAUUUAUUGGGCGUAAAGCGAGCGCAGGCGGUUUCUUAAGUCUGAUGUGAAAGCCCCCGGCUCAACCGGGGAGGGUCAUUGGAAACUGGGAGACUUGAGUGCAGAAGAGGAGAGUGGAAUUCCAUGUGUAGCG